rnacentral:rRNA from 1 species
CAGUCGCCGCGGUAAAACGGAGGGUGCAAGCGUUAAUCGGAAUUACUGGGCGUAAAGCGCACGCAGUCGGUUUGUUAAGUCAGAUGUGAAAUCCCCGAGCUUAACUUGGGAACUGCAUUUGAAACUGGCAAGCUAGAGUCUUGUAGAGGGGGGUAGAAUUCCAGGUGUAGCGGUGAAGUGCGUAGAGGUCUGGAGGAAUACCGGUGGCGAAGGCGGCCCCCUGGACAAAGACUGACGCUCAGGUGCGAAAGCGUGGGGAGCAAACAGGAUUAGAUACCCCUGUAGUCCCUGUCUCUUAUAA